CUUGCUCCACCGAAAGAAAAGGAGUGGCGAACGGGUGAGUAACACGUGGGUAACCUGCCCAUCAGAAGGGGAUAACACUUGGAAACAGGUGCUAAUACCGUAUAACAAUCGAAACCGCAUGGUUUCGGUUUGAAAGGCGCUUUUGCGUCACUGAUGGAUGGACCCGCGGUGCAUUAGCUAGUUGGUGAGGUAACGGCUCACCAAGGCAACGAUGCAUAGCCGACCUGAGAGGGUGAUCGGCCACAUUGGGACUGAGACACGGCCCAAACUCCUACGGGAGGCAGCAGUAGGGAAUCUUCGGCAAUGGACGCAGUCUGACCGAGCAACGCCGCGUGAGUGAAGAAGGUUUUCGGAUCGUAAAACUCUGUUGUUAGAGAAGAACAAGGAUGAGAGUAGAACGUUCAUCCCUUGACGGUAUCUAACCGAAAGCCACGGCUAACUACGUGCCAGCAGCCGCGGUAAUACUAGGUGGCAAGCGUUGUCCGGAUUUAUUGGGCGUAAAGCGAGCGCAGGCGGUUUCUUAAGUCUGAUGUGAAAGCCCCCGGCUCACCGGGGAGGGUCAUUGGAA
rnacentral:rRNA from 1 species